rnacentral:misc_RNA from 1 species
GCAGUCUUCAAGCUUCCAUUAUCAGACAUGUAGAAAUAGUUGUAAUUAAUUCUAGUCACCAGAUCAGCCAAAUGAGGGAAUUGCCCCACAUUGAGUUUGAAAGACAAGAUUCUGAGAAGAAAGGCAAUGCAAUCAUCAAAACGUUUCUCGAUUCUAUCCACUUCCAUUUCACAUCUGGCCUUCAUUGCAGAAGUUGCACUGCC